rnacentral:rRNA from 1 species
AAAUUGAAGAGUUUGAUCAUGGCUCAGAUUGAACGCUGGCGGCAGGCCUAACACAUGCAAGUCGAACGGUAACAGGAAACAGCUUGCUGWUUYGCUGACGAGUGGCGGACGGGUGAGUAAUGUCUGGGAAACUGCCUGAUGGAGGGGGAUAACUACUGGAAACGGUAGCUAAUACCGCAUAAYGUCGCAAGACCAAAGAGGGGGACCUUCGGGCCU